GAUGAAGAACGUAGUGAAAUGCGAUACGUAAUGUGAAUUGCAAAUUCAGUGAAUCAUCGAGUCUUUGAACGCACAUUGCGCCCCCUGGUAUUCCGGGGGGCAUGCCUGUCCGAGCGUCAUUGCUGCCCUCAAGCACGGCUUGUGUGUUGGGCCCCGUCCUCCGAUCCCGGGGGACGGGCCCGAAAGGCAGCGGCGGCACCGCGUCCGGUCCUCGAGCGUAUGGGGCUUUGUCACCCGCUCUGUAGGCCCGGCCGGCGCUUGCCGAUCAACCCAAAUUUUUAUCCAGGUUGACCUCGGAUCAGGUAGGGAUACCCGCUGAACUUAAGCAUAUCAAUAAGCGGGGA
rnacentral:misc_RNA from 1 species